CAGGAUGCAUUGCUCAGGUGUGCCCAGUACGUCGUGGAUUUUGGCAAUCUGGUCCAGCUCGUUGGCACCGGGGAAGAGAGGAUUCAAGCUGAAACACAAGAGGUGGGCGGUGACCGCUAGCUCCCCUGCCUUGUCACCAGCCUCCUGGCUCCGGUUGCUCCAGUCGCUGUUCGCCGCCGUCUUGCACGCAUUCCGAAGGUUUGCCCUGUUUUUAACGCCAAUGAGCCAGUUGGAGUAGUGCAUCAUGAGUGCACACGGAUUUCCGAAGAGUGGAGCAUGAGUUUGAUGCUUUACGAAUGUCAGCGAAUGAGAGGCGCGCUAGUGAAUCGUCGCUGUCGCUAUCGUUCUAUCCAUUCGUGGACUGUUGAGACAUUACUGCUGCACGUCGGCUUCCGUAGUAAUGUGGCUAAUUCUGGCCCAUGAAAUAAUAUGUGCGUGGCUCAAUGAAAAUCGUUUGUUGACUGUAAUUUGUAACAUUUGCUACUACCUAAUCCAGGGAUGGGCAAUUAAAAUGAUGGAUGGGGCCACAAUUUUACAUCAGUAU